rnacentral:misc_RNA from 1 species
GUGAGUCAUCGAAUCUUUGAACGCACAUUGCGCUCCUUGGUAUUCCGGGGAGCAUGCCUGUUUGAGAAUCAGUAAAUUCAUCAACCUCGGUGAUCUGCCCUUAAUUGUGGUUCGAGAUCUGGGGUUGGAUAUGGGUCUUUUGCGCCUGGCGCAAUGGCCUGAAAUUCAACGUCAUCGAACUGAACACUGAGGUUCAAGUUCAAGCGCAUGAGGAGUUUGUUCUCUUUUUACGUCUUGAUACAGGGAUCUGCUGGUGGGAUCGUCUCGGUGACUCAACCAUCAAACAGAAGGGACUCGAAA